rnacentral:rRNA from 1 species
GACGAACGCUGGCGGCGUGCCUAAUACAUGCAAGUAGAACGCACAGUUUAUACCGUAGCUUGCUACACCAUAGACUGUGAGUUGCGAACGGGUGAGUAACGCGUAGGUAACCUGCCUGGUAGCGGGGGAUAACUAUUGGAAACGAUAGCUAAUACCGCAUAAUAUUAAUUAUUGCAUGAUAAUUAAUUGAAAGGUGCAAUUGCACCACUACCAGAUGGACCUGCGUUGUAUUAGCUAGUAGGUGAGGUAACGGAUAACCUAGGCGACGAUACAUAGCCGACCCGAGAGGGUAAACGGCCAAACUGGGACUGAGACACGGCCCAGAAUCCUACGGGAGGGAGCAGUAGGGAAUCUUCGGCAAUGGACGAAAGUCUGACCGAGCAACGCCGCGUGAGUGAAGAAGGUUUUCGGAUCGUAAAGCUCUGUUGUAAGAGAAGAACGAGUGUGAUAGUUGAAAGUUCACACUGUGACGGUAUCUUACCAGAAAGGGACGGCUAACUACGUG